rnacentral:rRNA from 1 species
CGCAGCAGUAGCAAUACUGUGGGCGGCGAGCGGCGGACGGGUGAGGAAUGCAUCGGAAUCUGCCUCUUUGUGGGGGAUAACGUAGGGAAACUUACGCUAAUACCGCAUACGACCUACGGGUGAAAGUGGGGGACCUUCGGGCCUCACGCAGAGAGAUGAGCCGACGCCGGAUUAGCUAGUUGGUGGGGUAAAGGCCCACCAAGGCGACGAUCCGUAGCUGGUCUGAGAGGAUGAUCAGCCACACUGGAACUGAGACACGGUCCAGACUCCUACGGGAGGCAGCAGUGGGGAAUAUUGGACAAUGGGCGCAAGCCUGAUCCAGCCAUGCCGCGUGUGUGAAGAAGGCCUUCGGG